AUGGGAGUGAGAAUGUUGGCAUGAGUAGCGAGAUGUGGGUGAGAAUCCCACAGGCCGUAAACCCAAGGUUUCCAGGGGAAGGUUCGUCCGCCCUGGGUUAGUCGGGACCUAAGCUGAGGCCGAAAGGCGUAGGUGAUGGACAACAGGUUGAUAUUCCUGUACUACCGAUAACCGUUUGAGAGAAGGGAUGACACAGUAGGAUAAGCUAAGCACACUGUUGGUUAUGUGUGCCCAAGCAUUGAGGCAGUCAAAGUAGGCAAAUCCGCUUUGAUAAUGCUGGGAUGUGAUGGGGAGCGAAAUUUAGUAGCGAAGUAGCUGAUUUCACACUGUCAAGAAAAGUCUCUAUCGAGGUUAAAGGUACCCGUACCGCAAACCGACACAGGUGGGUGAGGAGAGUAUCCUAAGGC
rnacentral:rRNA from 1 species